ensembl:lncRNA
GUGGUUUAAUGACGUAAAGACAAAGGUUUGCUGUUGGAGACAGGAUUGCCCACUUUCACUGCGAAUCAAGCCAAGCAGAUCCGAUUCUGACCACAAGAAGAUUUAAGGAUGCAUGUAUCAGACCCUACGGCGCCUUUAACUGCAACAGUAGUUUAAUGAUCCAGUCACGUAAGGCCACAAACACACAUAUAGUCUUAUAUCUGCUUUUGCUGAUAGACUUAAUGUAUAAUGAUGGGCAGACUUUCCAAAUAGUGAAAACAACAAGUCAUACACACAUUAGAAAUGUUUGGCAAGGUCUGGCUAGAUUGUGGAUUUUUGCUUUAAUAUUUAUAUCUCCAAGGUAUUCAGCUGAUUCUCUAAAAUGGCUUUGUAUUUAUUGGCCGUUUUUAAAACCCUGCAGAACACCGACUGGUCCAAAUGACUCCUACGAGAUGGCUGCUCAUACCAUGACAGAUCCACCUCCAUGUUUAACACCUGGCAAAAGACACUGUGGGUUGAGUUAUUAUUUUUUUAUUUUUUUUAUUUGGCUGUCUCCAAACAAAAACAGGCCCAGAUAGAAGACAAAGGCAAAUUGUCAAUUAAUGUUACUUUUGCAUUGUUCAGGGUUUUUUUUAUUUAUUUAUUUGUUUUACCAUUAAAUAUUGUAGAUCUAUUGAGCAGUACAUGGUUACAAUUGAACAAAUGCAAUGUUUUCAGGAAAAGUGUCUUGACCACUUUCAGGCUUUCAGAGUUGUCUUUCUUUUUUGUUUUGUUUUCUUAGACUUCCCCUAUUUCAAAUUAUGUAAUUUUGUAGUUUUGUGAUCAGAUCUACUAUCCAGGCUUGGCAUAUUUCAGAUGCCUUAUGUUGUUUGGAAAACUCAGCAAGUGACUGGCUCUGUUUCACACAGGAGAUGCCUUUAUUUUUAGCUUUCAAGAGCACGAAAUAAAUGUAUAAUUCGGUUGUUGUUUUACUAUAGUCCAUUCAUUUGCAUUCAUACCCCAGCUCACACAUAGCAGAGGAGAUAUUUUUGCCAUUCAAUAAUGAAAAUUUAAAUCAACUACAUUAAGAAAAGAAGAGACUGUGAGUUAUUUGAAAGCUUUAUAAACUGUGGCAAUUUGAAAAUAUAAAUAAAAUCCAAAACAGUGAGAAAAAAUAGAGAAAAUCGUGAACUGACACAGUCAAAAAAACUGGGGGGAUGAAUGUUGAAAAGUACUACUAGCAAUACUGUUUUUACAGUGUUUUUUUUAAAGGUCUGGUAUUUUGUUAUGAAGCACUUUGUGAUAUUUGUCUUUAAAAGUGCUACAGAAAUAAGAAAUAAAAUCGAAAUAAAAUUUUACUUAACUCAAACAUACUAAAGUAAUUUGAUGAUCGUCCUUGAUUCCUGAUUCGUUCCUGAU